rnacentral:lncRNA from 1 species
CGCGCGGACGUAACCAACCAGGGGCCUCGGCGCCGGGGGCUUUCCUUCGCCGCGGCGCGCUCGGGGAUGCCCACAGUACGCCUUGUCCCGGAGAAAGACUAAGUCCCUGUGCCCCGGGCUCCGGGGACGCCACAGACCGGGGUAUCUCUUGGGUUUUCAACUUGGACACGCAUGACGAACUCCGACCAGGUCGCCCAAAGGCUGAGCGGAGCGAAUCUCCAUUCAGGCAGCGAGAGAGACUGACUCGGGCGGGUCCUCGCGCCCUAGGGGCCCUGGGAAAUCAGGGCGGAGCGCGCCGGUGCUCGAGGAGGCGGUUACAGGGCGGAGAAGGCGACGCCGUGGGCGGGGUCAAGGAAAUCGAGCCUGGCGUGGGCGGGGCUUGGGAACACAGAAGAGGGUGGGGCCCGGGCUUACGGAGAUUGACCGGCCGGUGGGGGCGGGACGUGAGGCUUAGCGGGGCGGGGCCUGGGGAGGAAGUGAAGAGUGGCGGUUGUAGGAGCGGGGAUGGGCGGGACCGGGAAGGCUAGAUUGACAGGCACGGAUCGGUGGGCCGGAAGUGCAGCUGCGCUCGGGGAAGGCGGGAGGCCUCGGUGAUGGCGCCUGGGACUCGAGAUGCCCAGAUGCCGAGCUGAGGGCAGGGCCAGGGCCAGGGCGUCCGGAAGGGGCGGUUCCCCGCCCGGAAGGAGCACUCGAGGGAGACCUCACUCACGGAGGCCUCUGGUGCUGGGAACGUGGGGCCCGCGCCCGUAAAGCCUAGGUCCGGGCGGGACUGCUCGCUGACUUGGUCGGUCAGCUCGUGCAUGUCGUGACUUACGGGAAACAGAGGCCUGAAGACGGGAAGCCCCGCAACCCCGGCUGCACUGGAGCGCGAUGACAAGCCUCGUGGAGCCCACCCUCGGCCACUGCGUGCGCCACACGCCGCCCCUCACGCCGAAGGCACCGGAAGCGAGCUGCUUAAUACCCGAUUUAUUAGAGAUUUUUAACUUAAAAAUAGGGGCUGUGGUGGGAACCUGGGCUGCAUACAGAUGCCGGCUGCUGUCAGCAGCGGCUGCACUGGAGGGACAGGGCCCCCUGGUUGGUGCAAGGGGACACCGUGCUUGGAUUGUCACACACCAGACCGCAGAGGCUGAGGACCCGGGACUCCCUCGCCCUGAUGAACAGGAUUUCACUCUGUAGCGCAGCCUAGCCUGGAAGUUGCCACAAUCCUCCUGCGUUAGCCUUCCAAGUGUUGGGAUGACAGAUGACACAAUGCCUUCCUGGAGGGGUCUAUGCAAGACUGGGCCUUUGUAGCCCCUGAAUCAACUCACUCAGCAGCUCACCACAUGGAUGUCACUUGCCAGUGCCAAAACAGGACCCCCAUCAGCAAACAAGGGAGACCUUUGGAGGGGCUCUGGGACUUUAACACAAACAUGGAACUGCAGUGAGGACCAGGGCAGACGUCUGUCCAUCCCUCCUACC